GACGAACUCUGGCGGCGUGCCUAAUACAUGCAAGUCGAGCGGACCGGAUUGGGGCUUGCCUUGAUUCGGUCAGCGGCGGACGGGUGAGUAACACGUGGGCAACCUGCCCGCAAGACCGGGAUAACUCCGGGAAACCGGAGCUAAUACCGGAUAACACCGAGGACCGCAUGGUCUUCGGUUGAAAGGCGGCCUUUGGGCUGUCACUUGCGGAUGGGCCCGCGGCGCAUUAGCUAGUUGGUGAGGUAACGGCUCACCAAGGCGACGAUGCGUAGCCGGCCUGAGAGGGGGACCGGCCACACUGGGACUGAGACACGGCCCAGACUCCUACGGGAGGCAGCAGUAGGGAAUCUUCCGCAAUGGGCGAAAGCCUGACGGAGCGACGCCGCGUGAGCGAAGAAGGCCUUCGGGUCGUAAAGCUCUGUUGUGAGGGACGAAGGAGCGCCGCUCGAAGAGGGCGGCGCGGUGACGGUACCUCACGAGAAAGCCCCGGCUAACUACGUGCCAGCCGCCGCAGUAA
rnacentral:rRNA from 1 species